ensembl:misc_RNA Metazoa_SRP Metazoan signal recognition particle RNA
GCCGGGCAUGGUGGCGCACGCCUGUAAUCCCAGCUACUCGGGAGGCUGAGGCAGGAGAAUCGCUUGAACCCGGGAGGCGGAGGUUGCAGUGAACCAAGAUUGCGCCACUGCACUCCAGCCUGAGUGACAGAGCGAGACUCUGUCUCAA